rnacentral:rRNA from 1 species
GAUGAACGCUGGCGGCGUGCCUAAUACAUGCAAGUCGAGCGAAUGGAUUAAGAGCUUGCUCUUAUGAAGUUAGCGGCGGACGGGUGAGUAACACGUGGGUAACCUGCCCAUACGACUGGGAUAACUACGGGAAACCGGGGCUAAUACCGGCUAACAUUUUGAACCGCAUGGUUCGAAAUUGAAAGGCGGCUUCGGCUGUCACUUAUGGAUGGACCCGCGUCGGAUUAGCUAGUUGGUGAGGUAACGGCUCACCAAGGCAACGAUGCGUAGCCGACAUGGGAGGGUGAUCGGCCACACUGGGACUGAGACCCGGCCCAGACUCCUACGGGAGGCAGCAGUAGGGAAUCUUCCGCAAUGGACGAAAGUCUGACGGAGCAACGCCGCGUGAGUGAUGAAGGCUUUCGGGUCGUAAAACUCUGUUGUUAGGGAAGAACAAGUGCUAGUUGAAUAAGCUGGCACCUUGACGGUACCUAACCAGAAAGCCACGGCUAACUACGUGCCAGCCGCCGCUGUAA